UCGUGCUAGACGGGGAGCUAGCGGUGCCCUGUAGCCCGAAAACCGCUUAUGCGGGGUUGAACUCCCUCGCUGAGGGUCGCAGCGCAAUCGGGAACGGCGGCCGGACGGGCGGAUUGGACCCCACGCAACAGGCGCUGGCGAACCCCGUCAGGUCCGGGAGGAAGCAGCGGUAAGUCAGGCAGUCUGUGUCGUGGCGGCAGCUAAUCCUCAACCCCCCGGCAGGCCCAACCGGUUGAGGCGGACUCGAAGGAGGGUGCACGG
rnacentral:SRP_RNA from 1 species